ACCAGACUCCUACGGGAGGCAGCAGUGGGGGAUAUUGCACAAUGGGGGAAACCCUGAUGCAGCGACGCCGCGUGGGUGAAGAAGCGCCUCGGCGCGUAAAGCCCUGUCAGCAGGGAAGAAAAUGACGGUACCUGAAGAAGAAGCCCCGGCUAACUACGUGCCAGCAGCCGCGGUAAUACGUAGGGAGCGAGCGUUGUCCGGAUUUACUGGGUGUAAAGGGUGCGUAGGCGGCUUGGCAAGUCAGUAGUGAAAUCCAUGGGCUUAACCCAUGAACUGCUAUUGAAACUGUCGAGCUUGAGUGAAGUAGAGGUAGGCGGAAUUCCCGGUGUAGCGGUGAAAUGCGUAGAGAUCGGGAGGAACACCAGUGGCGAAGGCGGCCUACUGGACUGUGACUGACGUUGAGGCCCGAAGGCGUGGGGAGCAAACAGGAUUAGAUACCCUGGUAG
rnacentral:rRNA from 1 species